rnacentral:rRNA from 1 species
AUUGAACGCUGGCGGCAGGCCUAACACAUGCAAGUCGAGCGAGAGGCGGACGGGUGAGUAAUGUAUGGGGAUCUGCCCGAUAGAGGGGGCUAAAUACUGGAAACGGUGGCUAAUACCGCAUACUAUGCGAUGCACCAAUAGGGGAUUAGCUAGUAGUGGGGGUAAAGGCUCACCUAGGAGACGAUCUCUAGCUGGUAUGAGAGGAUGAUCAGCGAAACUGGGACUGAGACACGGCCCAGACGCCUACGGGAGGCAGCAGUGGGGAAUAUUGAACAAUGGUCGCAAGCCUGAUGCAGCCAUGCCGCGUGUAUGAAGAAGGCCUUAGGGUGGUAAAGUACUUUCAGCGGGGAGGCGUUACCCGCAUAAGAAGCACCGGCUAACUCCGUGCCAGCCGCCGCGGUAAUAC